rnacentral:misc_RNA from 1 species
CAAAUAGAGGAUCUGAAGGACAAGUCAUUGGUUAUUAAUUCAGGCGAGACUCAUGGACUCCCAAAUAAGAAGUUGUCUGCUUCUGCAGCUCCAUUUAACCCAUCACCAUCUAUUGCACGUGCUGCAUCGGUAUCGGUGAACAUUCCUCUUCCUUCUGGUCCUGGUGCUGUUCGAGCUGUUGCACCAUGGCCUGUAAACAUGACUCUACACCCGGGGCCUGCUACUGUCUUACCCACAAUUAGUCCAAUGUCUUCCCCACACUACCCAUACCCGUCACCUCCUGCAACCCCAAACAUGAUUCAGCCAUUGCAAUUUAUUUACCCUCCUUACAGUCAAAGUCAAGCAGUGCCAAGCAGUACCUUUCCAGUAACCAGCAAUGCCUUUCAUCCCAAUCAUUUCUCUUGGCAGUGUAAUGUGAACCAUAAUGUAUCAGAGUUUAUUCCCAGCACAGUGUGGCCUGGCUGCCAUGCAACGGAGUUUUCUGUCCCACCACCUGUUGCUGAGCCAAUUCCUGAUCCUGUGUUAGAGCCUAAAGUGCAAUUUGAAAAUCCUGGAAGCACAAGUCUGUCUCCGGUUCUUUCAGUAGACAUUGACAAUGUAGGAGAAGCUAAGAAAGAAGUGAACCUUCUGGCAUCAGAGGGAACAGAUGAUGCAAAAGAACUUGCUGGGGUUGGCUCGGAAAAAGUAAAGGAAAAUGGUCAUUCAAAUCUGGGUAAGGCUGAAAUUUUUGGCAAUAAUUCAGGUCAGAACAAAAGUUUCAAAGAAAAUACUAGCUGCAGUGAUGGAAGGAAGAUUGACGGGGAAAAAACCUUCAGCAUCUUGAUAAGGGGAAGGAGAAACAGAAAGCAGACUCUGAGAAUGCCAAUAAGUUUGCUUAGUCGACCAUAUGGCUCCCAGUCUUUUAAAGUUAUAUGUAACAGAGUAGUAAGAGGGAGCGAAGCUCCAAAAUCUAUGGGCUUUUCAUUGAGUGAAAACUGUACUGCUAAUGCUACAUGAUCCUAGGUUCUGCUUUUCUUCCCAAUCAACCAAUCAAGCAUAGCCAGAUAGCCCCAAAAAAAGUAGAAUUUAUAAAGCUUUUUUUCAUCCUAUGCACGGGAAUAUUUGAACAUUUUCUCGCUUUCAUGAUCAGACCACCCUCUGGAAAAUGCAGGU